GACGAACGCUGGCGGCGUGCUUAACACAUGAAAGUCGAACGGAAAGGCCCUGCUUUUGUGGGGUGCUCGAGUGGCGAACGGGUGAGUAACACGUGAGUAACCUGCCCUUGACUUUGGGAUAACUUCAGGAAACUGGGGCUAAUACCGGAUAGGAGCUCCUGCUGCAUGGUGGGGGUUGGAAAGUUUCGGCGGGUGGGGAUGGACUCGCGGCUUAUCAGCUUGUUGGUGGGGUAGUGGCUUACCAAGGCUUUGACGGGUAGCCGGCCUGAGAGGGUGACCGGCAACAUUGGAACUGAGAUGCGGCCCAGACUCCUACGGGAGGCAGCAGUGGAGAAUAUUGCACAAUGGGCGGAAGCCUGAUGCAGCAACGCCGCGUGCGGGAUGACGGCCUUCGAGUUGUAAACCGCUUUCGCCUGUGACGAAGCGAGAGUGACGGUAAUGGAUAAAGAAGCACCGGCUAAAUACGUG
rnacentral:rRNA from 1 species